UGGGGAAUAUUGGACAAUGGGGGCAACCCUGAUCCAGCCAUGCCGCGUGAGUGAUGAAGGCCUUCGGGUUGUAAAGCUCUUUUGGCGGGGACGAUGAUGACGGUACCCGCAGAAUAAGCCCCGGCUAACUUCGUGCCAGCAGCCGCGGUAAGACGAAGGGGGCUAGCGUUGUUCGGAAUUACUGGGCGUAAAGCGAGUGUAGGCGGUUGCCGUAGUCAGGUGUGAAAGCCUUGAGCUCAACUCAAGAAAUGCACUUGAUACUGGGUGACUAGAGGACCGGAGAGGAUAGUGGAAUUCCCAGUGUAGUGGUGAAAUACGUAGAGAUUGGGAAGAACACCAGUGGCGAAGGCGGCUAUCUGGACGGUUACUGACGCUAAGACUCGAAAGCGUGGGGAGCAAACAGGAUUAGAUACCCUGGUAGUCCACGCCGUAAAACGAUGGGUGCUAGACGUUGGCGAGCUUGCUCGUCAGUGUCGCAGCU
rnacentral:rRNA from 1 species